rnacentral:rRNA from 1 species
CCUACAGGUGGCAGCAGUGGGGAAUAUUGGACAAUGGGCGAAAGCCUGAUCCAGCCAUGCCGCGUGUGUGAAGAAGGCCUUCGGGUUGUAAAGCACUUUCAGUGGGGAAGAAAGCCUUGGGGCUAAUACCCUCGAGGAAGGACAUCACCCACAGAAGAAGCACCGGCUAACUCCGUGCCAGCAGCCGCGGUAAUACGGAGGGUGCGAGCGUUAAUCGGAAUUACUGGGCGUAAAGCGCGCGUAGGCGGUCUGAUAAGCCGGUUGUGAAAGCCCCGGGCUCAACCUGGGAACGGCAUCCGGAACUGUCAGGCUAGAGUGCAGGAGAGGAAGGUAGAAUUCCCGGUGUAGCGGUGAAAUGCGUAGAGAUCGGGAGGAAUACCAGUGGCGAAGGCGGCCUUCUGGACUGACACUGACGCUGAGGUGCGAAAGCGUGGGUAGCAAACAGGAUUAGAUACCCCUGUAGUC